rnacentral:rRNA from 1 species
UCUCCUGGAAAACGGGUGGUAAUGCCGGAUGCUCCAGUUGAUCGCAUGGUCUUCUGGGAAAGCUUUCGCGGUAUGGGAUGGGGUCGCGUCCUAUCAGCUUGACGGCGGGGUAACGGCCCACCGUGGCUUCGACGGGUAGCCGGCCUGAGAGGGCGACCGGCCACAUUGGGACUGAGAUACGGCCCAGACUCCUACGGGAGGCAGCAGUGGGGAAUAUUGCACAAUGGGCGCAAGCCUGAUGCAGCGACGCCGCGUGAGGGAUGGAGGCCUUCGGGUUGUAAACCUCUUUUAUCGGGGAGCAAGCGAGAGUGAGUUUACCCGUUGAAUAAGCACCGGCUAACUACGUGCCAGCAGCCGCGGUAAUACGUAGGGUGCAAGCGUUAUCCGGAAUUAUUGGGCGUAAAGGGCUCGUAGGCGGUUCGUCGCGUCCGGUGUGAAAGUCCAUCGCUUAACGGUGGAUCCGCGCCGGGUACGGGCGGGCUUGAGUGCGGUAGGGGAGACUGGAAUUCCCGGUGUAACGGUGGAAUGUGUAGAUAUCGGAAAAGAACACCCC